UGGUGCUUGCACUAUCACUUAGCGGCGGACGGGUGAGUAAUGCUUAGGAAUCUGCCUAUUAGUGGGGGACAACAUUUCGAAAGGAAUGCUAAUACCGCAUACGUCCUACGGGAGAAAGCAGGGGAUCUUCGGACCUUGCGCUAAUAGAUGAGCCUAAGUCGGAUUAGCUAGUUGGUGGGGUAAAGGCCUACCAAGGCGACGAUCUGUAGCGGGUCUGAGAGGAUGAUCCGCCACACUGGGACUGAGACACGGCCCAGACUCCUACGGGAGGCAGCAGUGGGGAAUAUUGGACAAUGGGCGCAAGCCUGAUCCAGCCAUGCCGCGUGUGUGAAGAAGGCCUUAUGGUUGUAAAGCACUUUAAGCGAGGAGGAGGCUACUGAAGUUAAUACCUUCAGAUAGUGGACGUUACUCGCAGAAUAAGCACCGGCUAACUCUGUGCCAGCAGCCGCGGUAAUACAGAGGGUGCAAGCGUUAAUCGGAUUUACUGGGCGUAAAGCGCGCGUAGGCGGCUAAUUAAGUCAAAUGUGAAAUCCCCGAGCUUAACUUGGGAAUUGCAUUCGAUACUGGUUAGCUAGAGUGUGGGAGAGGAUGGUAGAAUUCCAGGUGUAGCGGUGAAAUGCGUAGAGAUCUGGAGGAAUACCGAUGGCGAAGGCAGCCAUCUGGCCUAACACUGACGCUGAGGUGCGAAAGCAUGGGGAGCAAACAGGAUUAGAUACCCUGGUAGUCCAUGCCGUAAACGAUGUCUACUAGCCGUUGGGGCCUUUGAGGCUUUAGUGGCGCAGCUAACGCGAUAAGUAGACCGC
rnacentral:rRNA from 1 species